CCUACGGGAGGCAGCAGUGAGGAAUAUUGGACAAUGGGCGCAAGCCUGAUCCAGCCAUGCCGCGUGCAGGAAGAAGCAUCUAUGGUGUGUAAACUGCUUUUGUACGGGAAGAAACACUCCUACGUGUAGGAGCUUGACGGUACCGUAAGAAUAAGGAUCGGCUAACUCCGUGCCAGCAGCCGCGGUAAUACGGAGGAUCCAAGCGUUAUCCGGAAUCAUUGGGUUUAAAAGGGUCCGUAGGCGGUUUGGUAAGUCAGUGGUGAAAGCCCAUCGCUCAACGGUGGAACGGCCAUUGAUACUGCCAGACUUGAAUUAUUAGGAAGUAACUAGAAUAUGUAGUGUAGCGGUGAAAUGCUUAGAGAUUACAUGGAAUACCAAUUGCGAAGGCAGGUUACUACUAAUGGAUUGACGCUGAUGGACGAAAGCGUGGGGAGCGAACAGGAUUAGAUACCCUGGUAGUCCACGCCGUAAACGAUGGAUACUAGCUGUUCGGAGCAAUCUGAGUGGCUAAGCGAAAGUGAUAAGUAUCCCACCUGGGGAGUACGUUCGCAAGAAUGAAACUCGAAAGGAAUUGACGG
rnacentral:rRNA from 1 species